CUAUGGAGCUAUGUGAAGGGCCACAUCGCUUCCUUUCAAUCAUUACACACCUGAGCUGAAGAAAGUCUGUGUUUGUCGUCUUUAAUACAAACAUUGCCACAUUUCAGAUGUAACUACUGAUGCUGUUCACGGGGGACUUCACACUUUCCCUCUUCAACGUGACUCUGCUUAUGAAUAUCUCAGCAGUCUGCACGGCUUACCUGACACUCAUCUUACAGAGCCAAAGGACCCUGCCUAUGUGAUAUGCUGUUAUCAGGCGUAGGCACUUGGCUGGCUCCAAUCGGGAAGAACACAGAACAGGUGGCAAAGAGGGAGAAGCAAGGCAGCGCAAGUGCAUGCUGUGAACACGCCGCAGGUGUCCUGGUCGCCUACAAUGGCAAGAGGCUUAAAAGAAAGUCCUUACAUAGCAUCAAAGACACAAACAAACAUAAUUAUAUUGGAGAUUUACUGCAGGAGGACCUCAUUUGACUCUCUGUUUGUUGUGGUGUUUGUGACUGUAGCAGGCAGUCAGUUUUUCAUGGUGGCAGGCCCUUCUGUUGGUGCUGUAAAACACAGCGGUGUGUUCAGCUGUGACUGGGACUCAUUAGAGGAGGAGAGUGUCCGUCAUGGUGCCUGGCUGUCUGUGUGCUGGUCAUCCAGCAGGGGACUGGGGGAAAAUGGGCGGUGGAGGAGGCAGUCAGGGCCCAAUUGAAACUCCCUCCUCAUCCAGCCCGCUCCAUCCUUCUCUUUCUCUCUUUUCUCCGUUAUCUGCCCUGCUGCUCUCCUCUCCAUCCUCUUCUCCUCCUCUUCCAUCUCUCAACGGGGGUUCAUCUCUUGUGAUUCACUGAAGCCCAUUAUCAGUUCCCUGCCAACCUCCAUCCCCAGCCAGCCCCUCAACAACAACACACAACCACUCGAUCAAAGCCCCAAGAGGGCCAGCAGCUUGAUUGAUGCUUAUCAAGGAAUCCAUUGUUGUUGACCUGUGUUGGCAAUCCCUGUCAUCAUCUGUGCUGCUGUUAUUGCAAGUCUCUCAUUGUAUUGUAUUGGUGUGUUGUUAGCCAGGUAUUGUUUCUGCUCCAUCCCAAACAACGUUCAAUAAUAAAAGAUGGUGGCAGGUGUGCCGGACAACCAAGA